UAGGAUGAACUAUUCAAAAUGAUACAAUUAUAUGCUACAUGGUGGCAAAUUUUCACUGGACGCUUACAAUAAUCAAACCAUUAGCAAAGACCAUUUAUUACAUAUAUCCUCUAGGAGAAAUGGUAACUUCUAUAAAAAACCAAGAAAUAAAAUGGAAUACCUACUUAAAACAAAGAUAUGGAGUUUGC